GUGGCUGUGGCUCAGUGGUAGAGCACUUGCCUAGCAUGUAUGAGGCACUGGGUUCAAUCCUCAGCACUACA
rnacentral:tRNA from 1 species